rnacentral:rRNA from 1 species
UACGGGGGGGGCAAGCGUUGUUCGGAAUUACUGGGCGUAAAGGGCUCGUAGGCGGCCAACUAAGUCGGACGUGAAAUCCCUCGGCUUAACCGGGGAACUGCGUCCGAUACUGGAUGGCUCGAGUGUGGGAGAGGGAUGCGGAAUUCCAGGUGUAGCGGUGAAAUGCGUAGAUAUCUGGAGGAACACCGGUGGCGAAGGCGGCAUCCUGGACCACGACUGACGCUGGAUGAGCGAAAGCCAGGGGAGCAAACGGG